GGUGUUGUGGCUCAGUGGUAGAGUGCUUACCUAGCAUGCAUGAGGCACUGGGUUUGAUCCUCAGCACCACAA
rnacentral:tRNA from 1 species